UACGUAGGGUGCGAGCGUUGUCCGGAAUUAUUGGGCGUAAAGAGCUCGUAGGCGGCUUGUCGCGUCGGAUGUGAAAGCCCGGGGCUUAACUCUGGGUCUGCAUUUGAUACGGGCAGGCUAGAGUUCGGUAGGGGAGAUCGGAAUUCCUGGUGUAGCGGUGAAAUGCGCAGAUAUCAGGAGGAACACCGGUGGCGAAGGCGGAUCUCUGGGCCGAUACUGACGCUGAGGAGCGAAAGCGUGGGGAGCAAACAGG
rnacentral:rRNA from 1 species